GAAUCAAGGGUUCCCUACGCAGUCCCUGGACUUGGGAAUGAGCUGUGAAGAUCAAUACAGCUUCCACUAGGUGCCGCAGCAACUGAGCCAAAAAAAAGUCACACCCUCUCUAGGGACAGCCAUGGAGGAGGAGGAAGAAGAAGAAGAGGCUAGUUUUGGAGGUUUUUUAGCUAAGCAAUGAAGGGGUCCAAUAACCAGAGCUCUGCGGCCCAAUAGAAACAGAAGUGGAAAGGUGGAUACUAUAUAUGGACAGAUUUCUUUUCCUGAGGAGUGAAUGAAUCUGAAGGACGGAGUCAAAGGUGCCAAGAGAAGCUGAAGGAGUUACCAACAAGUUAAUGAUUAGCAAAUCUCUGAGUCUGCAUAUCAUACAGGAAGAGAUCCAGGAAAUAACUGAAUAGUUAUUUUGAUGUCUGUUCCAGGUAAAUCUAGUUGUAGGCAGAUCUUUGAAGGAGAAAACCUGGAAAAAUUGCUAUGGCUGUAUGGGACAAGCCACAGCUGCAAGAAUGUUAUGUGCCCAAAAAUGGAAGGAAGAAGAGGUCUUGAUAUGAGAAUAAUGGAUACAGAAGUUAAUGGACUACGGAGAAAUGGCGAACCUACCAGGAGAAUAAGAAAUCAAGAUAACAUUUUUAUUUUUUUUAGAAAGGAAUGGAAAUGGUUUAUUGAGUAUUUACAAACAAACUGUAAAUAGAUUA